CAGCAGGUGCGGGUCUGGGCGGGAGCAGAGUCCGGAGGGGAAAGAGUGCGGGCAUCGGUGACUGAAGUCUGGGCGAGAACCUGGCCGAUAGGAGUUGGGGCAGAGUCGGGAGAAGCCUGGGAAGGAGCCCGCUCAGGCCGAUGCCGGUAGUGGAAACACAGGAAACCACAGCCGCGCUGUUCUCGGAACUGGCUAAAGUAGUUCCGGAGAUGGGCAGAGCGCAAACCCGAGGGAAUGCCGCUCACUAUUAAGUAGACUGUGGCCUCCUCCUCCGCCUCGCUGGGCACCGCCAUCUUGCGUUGUCACAUGAUCGGCUGUUUCCAACUCUCGCGAGAAUAUCGCGGCACCGAGGCCUCCGUGGUGCAAUGAUGUGUAACUGGUGAUUAGUCCGUCAGGUUGUGGCUGAGGAGCUGAGAAGGCGCGGGAUUUGGGGUCCGUUUCCCACAGAGAGCAGCCGGCGAUGAUGAAAACAUCCCUUGGGAAAUGUGUUUACAGAUCGCUUUCAUAAGACUCUGAUGAUGAUAAAAUUAGAAGCUUGAGGGAGGGGUACUUUUUAAGAUUUUUAGUUGUUGGGGAUUUCCCACACCUAAUCUAAGUUUUCUCAGUUUAGAGACAUGUUAGUGGUUCAUCCACUUCUUCCAAAGCGUAUUCAAGGACUCCCACACAUCUCUAAGAAAGAGAUUCCAACUGAAAAGUGGACUAAACAUCCAAUUAACAAUGAAAGAGCAUCAAUCGCAUUAAUAAUCAAGGAAAUCUAGUGAGACGUACUUAACAUCCACCAGAUUGGCAAAAAUUUUUAAAUCCUAGGUACUGGUGAUAGUGCAGAGUAACUGGAUCUCCCAUGCACUGCUGUGGAGUGGAAACUAGUACAACCACUUUGGAAAACAAUACGACAUAACCCAGUAGAAGGAAGUGAAGCUACCCAUAUUCCACUUCUCUGUAUAUACUUAAAUUUUUGCAUAUGUCCCUGUAUUGACAAUGUUGAGCUUCACCCAGCCCUGUGAUCCUGGAAAACAGUGAAGGUUAAGAAACCCGAUCCCACCCUUUUGUGUUCUAGAACACAGCUUACUGCAAAGAAACACGCCUCCUUAUAUGACUUAGGUAAAACUCACGGGUGCUCCCUUGUGUACGUAUGUAUGUCAAGGCUAGCCACAGACUCCAAAUUCCAGUCUUUGCCUUGUAAAUGCUUAGAUGAACUGCUUGUCCCCACUGAUCAAUCAGAACCAAAUGCGUGUUAACCAAACUUUGGUUAAGCUCCUCUCCUUCCCCCAAGUCCCUGAACUUUGCCUCCCCCACCCACCCACCAAGGGGUGAGCCAGCGCACAACCCCUCCUGAGAACAGGCUGGGUUCAGGGUAAAACAUUUUCUGAUUUACUGUCUCAUCCUGUCACUCCUGAUCACCCCACUUCCUCAGACCCAGUUCUUUCUAGCCCUGUUUACUCCUCCCUAUGAAUGAUCCACUCCUCUUGUCUCAACCUUGAAGGCACGUGUCGAUCGUAAGGUCCCGUGGCAAUAAGUGUCUUCACCAUUGCAAUAGUUCCUUUCUUCGCUUGCAACAAUCAUUUAAAAAGAAGUCUCUUCUUACUGAGUCCAGGUUUGUAUUUUAUAUGACAAUAUAUAUGAGUAUUCAUAGAUGCAGUGAUUGUAAGAGCAAAAAGUUGGCAUUUAGUACGAUUUUUUUAAAGUUAUUUAUUUUGACAGAGUGCACGAGCGGGGGAGGGGCAGAGAAUCCCAAGCAGGCUCCGCACUGCCAGUGCACAGGCCAAACCCAUGAACUGUGAGAUCAUGACCUGAGCCGAUGUCAGAAGUUAGAUGCCUGACUGACUGAGCCACCCAGGCGCCCCCGGCAUUUAGUACUUUUCAGCAGGUAUAUGAUGAUGAGGGAAAAUGAGCAAGUAGGAAAUAGAAUUCUUUAUAUAAAGUUGAAAAAUACAAACUAAAAACUACUUUUUAGUGAUACAUAAGUAAAUAUUACUUAAAAUAAGAAAGAAAAGUAAGGAAAUGAUUAACCCCAAAUGCAGGGUAAUCAUUACCUUUAGGAGGGAGGUGACUUCAAAAUUUAUGGGACAUGAUGAGGGUUCAUUGUACUGUUAUCCUUUACACUUAACAUAUAUUUAAAAUUUUUUUUAUUUGAGAGACAGAGAGAGAGAGAGAGAACGGUGGAGGGGCAGAGAGAGAGAGGGAGACAGAGAAUCCGAAGCAGGCUCCAGGCUCUGACCUGUCAACACAGAGCCCGACAUGGGGCUCAAACCCACAAACCAUGAGAUCAUGACAUGAGCUGAAGUCGAAUGCUUAACCAACUGAGCCACCCAGGCGCCCCUAUACUUAACAUAUGUUUUGUAAAUGCUAUUUUGUUUUACUCAAUUUUAGUAAAACAUCUUAAAAGGGAAAACAAUUCAUUUCAAAAAACAAUAAAGCAAAUGUUUACUUUGUGUUGAUCACGAAUAGACACCUGUUUGAGGGGAAAAAAGGUCUAAUGGGAGUCUGGGUAAUUGUGGAUAGGAUCAUUUUACAUACCUGGAUUUUAAAAUCUGCUGAUGGAAGUGUAAAUUGGUACACCCAUUUUGGAAAACUUGACCAGAUCUACUUAAGUUGAGCACACAUUCUAUGACUUGGUAAUGACACUUCUUGCUAUAUAACAUCAGAUCUGCAAACAUCUGUGCACCAAAAGGUGUGUGCAGGAAUAGUCUCAGAAAUAUUAUUUGAGGGGCACCUGGGUGGCUCAGUCAGUUAAGCGUCUGACUUCGGCUCAGGUCAUGAUCUCACGGUUUGUGGGCUCGAGCCCCACGUCGGGCCCUGUGCUGACAGCUCAGAGCCUGGAGCCUGCUUUGGAUUCUGUGUCUCCUUCUCUCUCUCUGCUCCUCCCCCACUCACACCCUGUCUCUCUCUGCCUCAAAAAUAAACAUUAAAAAAAAAAGAAAUAUUAUUUGAUGAACCAAAAGAGUCAUCAGCAGUAUCUUGGAUAAGUGAAUUGUAGUGUAGUAAUGGGAUACUUUACGGCAAUGAAUAUGAAUGGGUCAGAAUGACUCUCAGACAUAAUGGAAAUGAAAGACAAACAAAAUAGUAUAUGCUGUACGGUUCCAUUUAUACAAAGUUUAAGGCAAACAGUCUCACUUAUGAUGCUGGAAACCAGGGAUAGUGAUGCCAUUUAGUGGGGAGGGGAAGCGUGGUGAUGAGGAUGGUUUCUGGGGUGUUGCUAAAGCUCUAUUUCUUGAGCUGGGCAGUGCUUACAGGGAGGGGCUCAUUUUGUGAUAACUCAUCAAACUGUACAUGCGUGAUUUGUGUGUUUUUCUGUAUAUUAUACAGAAAAGGUUGAAUUAAAACCAUAUUUUGAAAAAUCUGAAAAUAGAAAAGUAAAUGCGUUACAGCAAGCAAGACGUGAGCUCGGGAAGCGUUGUUAGCUGACCCAAGAAGUUUAGGAAUGGACUGCUUCAUAUUCCUCACUGGCUGUGAUCUGACGCUCGUUGAGGUGAGAGGGAGCCUGUAGGGGUCAGAGGUCAAGGGAGGGGUCAGUAGCGGAUUUGGGGAGAGGGAGAGACACCCCCAGUCCCAAAGAUAAACGCCAGGAAGUGAGGGGGUCCUGAACUGAUCCCAUCCCCUGGAUUCAGACCUGUACAAAAUAAAUCUCAUCCCCCAAAAUGAAAUAAGCAUUCCACACCAAAAAAUUAAUAUCCCAGUUCCCCGAGUGGCUCCAGCACUCCUUACGGUUUCUUUCUCUUGGACUCCUUCUGAUAGGGGCAGGGUAGACCCUGGAGGUGGGACAGUCCCUUCCACAUGCACAAAUUACAGUGUCAGGCUCCAAGGGUGUCAUGCCUUUUAUUACAAAAACCAAUAACUUAGAUAAGUUCUAUACAAAGUCAUUAGGACUCUUGGCCCAACGGGUCAUCUAAUCUUCCAUCCCCACCUUGGGAGGGGACAGGAAUCUUGGCCCAGAGGCUCUAGGAAUCACUAAGGGAUGGCCAGAGAGUUGGAGCACCAUGUCAAACCAAGGACGGCCAAGGGGACAGGUGUGGUGGGUGCGGAGCCCCAAAGCCCAUCUUGUUGGGCGAGGACCAGCUUACUCCAGAAGCGCUGCCUAUACAGACUUGCCCCCUCUGGGAGCAUUAGGCCACCCCCGGGAACAGCUGGGCCAAGUCAGCGCUGCCAGCCUCCGCCCAGCCUACACUUGAUCUCUGCCUGGGCUGGAACAGGUUGGCUCAGCAAAAGCAUGUCCUCGAGGAGGCCAGCGAUGUCAGUGUCUCCAACAAUAGGGCGAAAGAAGAGGUCCCCAAGCAGGCUGGGCGGAAUGGACUUGAGGGUGGAGGCUGUGAGGAGGACACGGGCCAAGCGGCCCUGGCCUGCUGGGCACCAGGUCUCCAGGGCCUUGCACAGAGCAUGAUGAGCCUUUUGCUGCAGGUGUCCAACAUGGGAGGAGGCGUGGAGGCCCGGCACACCUGUGGGCAGAGAAGGUGAGGAGGGCUGGUGAGUACCCCACUCCCAGGCAGCAAUCCUGGCCCAAGCCCUGAGGUUGCGGGGUUGGCCUUUGAGGCCCCAUUAGUACCUCCCCCAUUUGUUUAUUUAUCAUUUUAUUUAUCCGUCCAUUUGUGGGACAGCCCAGAGUAAUGGGUAAGAGCCAGGCUGCCUGGGUUUGAAUCCCGCACUGUCACUUAUCAGUGGCAUGGCCUUGGAUAAAUUGAUCUCUGUGCCUCAGUUUCCUCGUCUGUAAAAUGGAGAUAAUAGUACCUAUCUCCUAGGUAUGUUAUGAAGUUUAAAUCAGCUAGUCUAUGCAAAACCCUUAUAAUUGAGCCUAACAUAUGAUAGCAGGCAUAAUAUGAAUAUUCAUUACUAUCACCAUAGUUACUACAAUUUAGAUAUUCCACUAGGGCUUUUUGGGGAGGAAUUCUCAUCUCACAUUUCCAUUCUUCUCUAUCGGGUCCUCCUGAACCCACAGAAUUUUCUGUGACGGAGGCACAGCUGUGUCUGCCCAUCUUCCCGCCCCCAACUCCCACCUUCCCUGAGGGUCAGGACACUUUCUUAGAUAGAGUGGCCAGGGCUAGUCUUGGGAAUGAAUAAACCUAAGUUCCCAUCCCUGCUUUGCCCCUACCUGGCUGUGUGGACCUUCAGCAAAUCACUUAACCUCUCUGAGCCUCUUUUGUGAGGUGGCUUUUUGGUGAUAAUGAGGACCCAAAGAGAUAACGGACGUGAAGCCCUUAGCGGGUGCCUUCCCUGGCUGGGCCCCAGGAGUGUCUAGAAGCUCACCAGGAUUGAAGAGGAUGGUCUCUUUCAGGUAGGCAUAUUCCUUGGGGCCCAGCUGCAGGCUCCAGAAGGACUCCAGGCAGCACUGAAGCCACUGUACCGCAGCCAGCGAGGGCUGGGGUCGAUCUGGCAGCUGGCCGCUGCCUGAGCUGCUGCUGGGCUCCUCCAGCAAGAUCUUCUUGAGUAUGCUGGGAACUGGUGCCUCGGCCACCUCGAAAGUCACAGUGUCUUGGGCCAACCCCAGCAGGAAGAGGGGGCCCCAGCAGCCCCGCAGCAGCCGCUGCUGAUCCUGGGGGGGCAGUUGGCAGAAGGACGGCAGGUUCCUGAGGAAGACCACUGUUCUGGCCAGAACAUCCAAGGCUUCCCGGCAGGUGCGAUGGGGAGCACACAGCCGGACAGGCCGGUGCUGCCUGCACAGGCAAUGACUACGGGCUGGGGGCACAGAGGGCCUGGCCCUGAGGCUAGGGCUCAGAAGUGCGUACAGAAUGGCCGGGCGGCCUGCAGCACCCCGACACGAGCAGGUCCCUGGCUGGCUCGAACUCAUGGUUGGGGAUCUGCUCCUCCUUCCUCCCAGCUCUCCCGCCCUCUGCUCUGCGCUGUGGGUGCUAUUUAUAACCCCAGUGGGAGGGAGGGGGGAACAGCCUGACAACCUUGACUCCAGAAGUCAUGUUCAUUGAAAAAAAAAGAAACACUGCACUGACCCUGCAGGAUUGGUGGGGAAGUGGUGGGGGAGGGGGCUUUGGGAGCUCCACGUGGCCCUGAUAUCACUUUAGUCAAUGAAGCAGCCUAUGCAGGGUACAGGACUGCCUGCUCGCUGGCCCGACUGCCCCUUAUCGGAUGACUCAAGUGGAUAAACAAGGUCAUUAACCCAGGCUGUACCAGGGCACCAAGGCCUCAGGUGCACCAUCAGCAGGUGGUCAUGGCAGGUUUCCCUAUUGGUGCCUGUAGGACUCUCACUAAGCUGGGAAGCCAACCCCAGAGCUGGACAAGCCUUGAAUGCAAGGCCCAACCUGGAAGUGCCUUAUCACUGACUUGUUUGCCUAACCUUGGGGCUUUGCUCCUGUUGUUGGUAAGGAACAGGCUGCAGGGAAGGGAGCCAGGACCCUGGGGGGCUGGGAGGACUUUGCCCACUGUGCACACUAGGAGGCCUCCCUCCUCUGACUCUAGUUCCGGUGGGGGGCUGCCGAAAUAAGGUCCUGAAGAACUCUCUAUCCUCAGCCUGGAUUCCUAAAGCUCCCGAAAGGCUGUGUCUGCUGAGAAGCCCUCCCGGAACGAUAUUGAAAUAUGGCUGCUACUUACUGAGCACCUCCUGUGGGCCAAAAACUUUCCAGUCUAAUAUUAGAGCUUGCCUAUGAGGCAAGAUUCUUACUUUUUGAAACUCAAAGAGGUGAAGUGACUUGCCCAAGGUCACACCACCAAGAAGAGACAGAGCCCAGAUCUGUCUGACUCCAAAGUCCUUGCUUGUUCCCCUGGAUCCGCUGGCCCAGUUGUUCAGCCAGAUCUGUGUAGCCUAAGUUUUCCAGAGCUGGUGGCUACCCGGGUCUCCACCUCGCAGCUACCUGGUCCACAGAUAUUGCCGAUUUAUGAUCUGGGCAGAAACGCUGCUCUGCCGCCAGCCACGUGGCAACUCUGUCCUGGGCAUCUGUCUCAGGACGGUGGGGCAUGGGGUCGAGGAGAGGGUGGGAAGGUCCUCGGCUGUGUCAUGUUCAUGGACCUUGGCAAGCCCAGCUUGGCAAGCCUUCUGCUAUAGCACACGGUUGGGCAGCCAUCACCAUCCCUGGCACGUGCUCCUGGCUCUGUCAUUUUCCAGUUGUGUGACCUUGGGCUGAUCCCUUAAUCUCUGUGGGCCUCAGGAGCUUCAUCUGGGACAAUAACACAGUGAGGUCCUAGAUGUGAAAUUCUAAGCAGUUUCUGGCAUUCAGUAGGAGGACUUUGCUCCUCCCUUUCCUCUGCCUAAGGAACCAAGCCCCAGCAGACAAACAGGUGCACAUCUUUCAUUCGAUUGUGAAUAAUCUUAAUCCUUACAUUUGUAAAGUUCCUUCCACAACCUUCCACAACUGAAACCUCUUCAGCAUCCCCUUGAAGGAGACUGGAGUCAGACCCCUCGGGUUCAAAUCCUGCCCCAUCACUUAGCGUCAUUGGGCAAGUCACUUUACAUUGCUGUGCCUCAGUUUCCUCACCUUUAAAAGGUACAAGAAAGGCCAAUAGUGCAUAUUGAGUUUAUGGGCCCUGAAGCUUCUACAAUUUGGAAGGUCCUCUUUAGGAAUAGAAAAUCAGGUAUGAAAGUGAAUAUUUAAAGUGAGAAAACAUGGGGGGGCCUGGCUGACUCAGUCAGUAGGUAGAGCAUGUGACUUUUGAUCUUGGGGUUUUAAGUUUGAGCCCCAUGUUGGGUGUAGAGAUUAUUUAAAAAUUAAAAAAAAUCUUUAUUUUUUAAA